rnacentral:rRNA from 1 species
AUGCCCGGUGCUGGCAACACCGCCGCGUGCCUUCGUCCACGACGUGUCCCCGGGCCUGGCAAGCCUAGUGCGGCGCUUCGUCAACUUCGUCUGCGACCGUCUACGCAUGCCCGGUGCUGGCAACACCGACGCGUGCCUUCGUCUACGAUGUGUCCCCGGGGUUGGCAAACCCGGCGCGACGCGUCGUCAACACCAUUCUCCUUCCUGGCGCAUCACUUCUUCGACACCACUGCACCCAUGACUAACUCGGCGCCUCCUUGCGCCUGCGGCUCCACGGUGACUCCCUCGACACCGGCUACCCCGACUCGACAUCGACCACGGCGCACGGCUACCUCGACCACGGCUACACCACCCUACGCUCUCGGCUACAUCGACAUCGGCACAAAGGGUUAUCAUCCGCUUGAGCAACUCGUCGGCUUCCUCUACAGUCAACGCGUCCGCGACGCGACACCGUCCAUGACGCUCCCGCUACGACUGCGGGGGGAUGUCAGCCCGUCGGCUGCUAUUCUCUCCAGUCUGACCGUCCGCGACGCUCCUGUUGUUCGCAACGCUACCGCUACGACUGUGGGGGAUGUUAGAGAUAUAUUUGGGAUACUUGUAUUUGGCAGUCUAGGAUUUGUAAUCCGUCUCCUACCUUAUCUCCAGGAGAGGCGUCUUCCCCUCCAAGUCUUGUACUCAAUAUAUACUCGCCCUCGAGGCUCAAUAAUACAUCCAUCAUAUUCCGCAACAAUCUCUCUCUCCCUUCUAACAAUGCCGACCUCAUGCAUUUCUGAUUAG